GCUAAGGUGCAGAAAGCAAUUCAGCCCCGUCCAUAGAAAGUUCUAUGGGGGGAGGAACGGAACACACGCGCAGGGGGGCGCUAAAGCUCUUAUUAGGCCCAUUACCCCACAAAGAGAGGAAGGACCAGGUCCGCACACGCCUUCUCGAGGGCUACUAUACUACCACUACCACAGCUGGCAAAGCCAGCCCGGACAUCCAGCAAUGAGGUGCCGAGCAGCUUCUCGUUCUCAAAAGCCAUCUUAGACCUUAAUGCAGCAGCAGCUGUGCUGUCGAUCCCGAUCUCGAUCCAGUCGUCGAUGAAGCAGCAGAGCCAUGCUGCAGCCGAUCGAUCAAUGACGUGACUCACGCCGGGCGCAUCUACCAGCUUGCGCAUCUGUGAGGGCCCACAGCUGCUGCCAUGCCGAAAAUCCCACCUCCGCCCCGCCGGCUAGAAGAAAUGAAGUGCCGUAUAGAAAGGGUCAUAUGACGUGGCUCAUUCCAAAGGAAUUCCGGCUCAGAUAUCACUGCUCCAAACGUCGCCACGGAAGCCUUAUACAAUAUGUGGAGCAAGGCACCCAUUUCUCGUCGACUACCACAAAAAGGAAAGUGGAACCGGCAGACUCGUACUGUCCUUGCAGAGGAAAGAGUUAGAAUGNNNNN
rnacentral:lncRNA from 1 species